rnacentral:rRNA from 1 species
UGCGGAGGGUGCAAGCGUUAUCCGGAUUCACUGGGUUUAAAGGGUGCGUAGGCGGGCAGGUAAGUCCGUGGUGAAAUCUCUGAGCUUAACUCAGAAACUGCCAUGGAUACUAUUUGUCUUGAAUGUUGUGGAGGUAAGCGGAAUAUGUCAUGUAGCGGUGAAAUGCUUAGAUAUGACAUAGAACACCAAUUGCGAAGGCAGCUUACUACACAAAUAUUGACGCUGAGGCACGAAAGCGUGGGGAUCAAACAGG